rnacentral:rRNA from 1 species
UACGGGAGGCAGCAGUCGGGAAUAUUGCGCAAUGGAGGAAACUCUGACGCAGUGACGCCGCGUGCAGGAAGAAGGUUUUCGGAUUGUAAACUGCUUUAGACAGGGAAGAAAAAGGACAGUACCUGUAGAAUAAGCUCCGGCUAACUACGUGCCAGCAGCCGCGGUAAU